AGGAGUCAGCCCCUACAGCAAGACACUGGUCCUCCAGACGUCUGAGGGUAAGGCCCUUCAGCAGUAUCCCUCAGAGCGGGAACUUCGUGGCGUCUAACUUGGCUGGCAGCCUGGAGGAAGGUGACAUUUCUUAGUCUCUUUUCAAUGUUCAUGAGAUACCGGUGUCUAGUAUUAGUUACAAGAUGUGGAUCUGCGAUCCCCGGUACCACAGUUACAGAAUUGGGGGUCAUUUUCUAAGUGAAACUAAUGGACCACGUUCUCUACGAACAAAGAAACUGUAUUGUAGAAAUCCAUUCCUCCACGAAUUUUAUAUAAUAUAUACUAUGUGCAUAUAUAUAUAUAUAAGGUAUGUAUGUGACUGUGAGUCACCCCAACCACCAUGUAGAUAUAUCAGUGUUCUCUGUUACUGCCCAGAAGUGAUUCGCUCAUGAUGAAAUAAAGUUCACACACAUUCUUUCUCCAC
rnacentral:lncRNA from 1 species